rnacentral:rRNA from 1 species
AACAGGGAAAAGCUCACAGUUGGAACCUAGCUGCCUUAGGUAGUUCGGAUUGUAAACUGAAAAAGUGUUAUCCAGGCUAGCCGAGUAAAUAAGUUUCUUGGAAUAGAACAUCAUGGAGGGUGAGAAUCCCGUCUUUGGCUUGAGCAUAGUCUUUUGUGUUGCACUUUAACGAGUCAGGUUGUUUGGGAAUGCAGCCUAAAGUGGGAGGUAAAUCCCUCCYAAAGCUAAAUAUUGGCGAGAGACCGAUAGCAAACAAGUACCGUGAGGGAAAGAUGAAAAGAACUUUGAAAAGAGAGUUAAACAGUAUGUGAAAUUGCUAAAAGGGAAGCGUUUGAAGACAGACUAGCUUGGUUAUAAUCAGCCUGGAUUUUUCUUGGUGUACUUGUAGCCUAUGCUUGUCAACAGCAGUUUGGUUUGGCUGAAAAAACUGAUAGUAAGGUGGCUCUCUUCGGGGAGUGUUAUAGACUGUUAGAAAAUCAGUUGGACUGGACUGAGGAAUGCAAUGCAGCUUGCCUUGGGGUGAACCAGAUUGGAUAGGAACCAUUGUUCUUUGAAGGUUUGGGUAGCUCUUCGAACUGUAUUUAGGUUGUUGGCUUAAUGUCUUUAAACGGCCCGUCUUGAAA